CAAAGAAUAACUCAAAAGACUAGCUCUCCUUGGAAUAAAUUAACAAACAGAUACCUUCCACCCAUCCAGGAGCUGAGAGCAUCACCAGCAUAUCCUAUAGGCCUGCACCACCAGAACCAGCAAGAGCUCUCCUUGCAAUUUUCAUAAUUGAAGUGUUUCCCUGUGUGUGACAUAGGUUGCCGAAGUACUUCUGCUUCCGAAGAUAUUCAACCAAUGAAUUCAUCCCCUCUGCUGUCUUCUCCAAACACACUCCAAAGUCAACAGACAGUUCCCACCACAACAAAACACAAGCCUCCUCUCCUGCUCAGACCACACACACAUCUCACUCUAACACACUAACACUAACACACACAACAGUGCUCACACUAAUGGAAAAAUAGGCACACUCACAACACUUUACUCACACCUCUCAAAAACAAAUUACCAUGACACCUCAUCACACUACUCCUGACAACAUUCAGACUCACUACACCACUCCAAGACAUCAGAACUGACACUGGGAACAAAAAGGAACAGGAACAACAAACUGGCCUGCACACCGCUGGAGCUUGCCCAACAGCCUCCUUCACAUCUACACACCUCCUUCCAUGAGGACAGAGCUCAGAACAACCAGCCACACCUGGAUUUAUACCUCCUUGCUAGGGAAGGUGCAACAUGGUAAUGAAUGGUACAAUUUUCUCUUCUUUAACAUAAAGGAGAAACACGAUGGACAAAACGCAACUCUCAGACUGUUUCACCAAUACAAGGUGGUUGUCUUCCUUUCUUUUCCUGUUGCUGAGAUAGAAGACCUUCUGGACAAAGGCGAUUUAAGGAGGGAGGGGUUCAUUUUAGCUCACAACCCAUCGGUGCACAGAGGUCCAAGCAGCAGAAAAUGGAGCAGCUGGCCACGUGCAAUCCACCACAGCGAAGAAGGGUCAGUGACUCGUGUCCAGCUGGCUGUCUCCAUUUAUACGUUUGAGGGUCCAUAAGGAAUGGUGCAGUCCUCAGUUAAGAUGGCUCCUUCCCAUUCUGAGACUCCGGUUACCCUAAGUAUGCCCAGAGGCAUGUCUCAGGGGUGACUCUAUAGAGGCUGCUAAGUAGGCAAUUAACACUUUUCAUCACAGCUUUGUUCCUUAAAAGAUUCAAAAAGUUAUACUGAGUGUAAAUUCUGGAAUAUUAAUACUGUGUUAUUCUGGAUUCUGAAAUGCUGUGUGCAAGUAUUAAAACAUUAAUGCUAUUCAAAAAUGGA